rnacentral:rRNA from 1 species
CCUACGGGAGGCAGCAGUAGGGAAUUUUCGUCAAUGGGCGCAAGCCUGAACGAGCAAUGCCGCGUGAACGAGGAAGGUCUUCGGAUCGUAAAGUUCUGUUGAAGGGGAAAAAGAGCGGAGAGAGGAAAUGCUUUCUGAUUGAUAUUACCCUUCGAGGAAGUCACGGCUAACUACGUGCCAGCAGCGGCGGUAAUACGUGGGUGGCGAGGGUUAUCCGGAUUGAUUGGGGGUAAGGGGUGCGUAGGCGGCCUGCUAAGUCUGGAGGGAAAGGUACCGGCUCAACCGGUACAGGCUCUGGAAACUGGCGGGCUAGAGGGCAGGAGAGGGAGGUGGAACUCCAGGUGUAGCGGUAAAAUGCGUAGAUAUAUGGAAGAACACCAGUGGCGAAGGCGGCCGCCUGGCCUGUUACUGACGCUGAGGCACGAAAGCGUGGGGAGCAAAUAGGAUUAGAUACCCGAGUAGUC